rnacentral:rRNA from 1 species
UACGGAGGGGGGCUAGCGUUGUCCGGAAUUAUUGGGCGUAAAGAGCUUGUAGGCGGUUUGUCGCGUCUGCUGUGAAAAUCCGGGGCUCAACCCCGGACUUGCAGUGGGUACGGGCAGACUAGAGUGUGGUAGGGGAGACUGGAAUUCCUGGUGUAGCGGUGAAAUGCGCAGAUAUCAGGAGGAACACCGAUGGCGAAGGCAGGUCUCUGGGCCACUACUGACGCUGAGAAGCGAAAGCAUGGGGAGCGAACAGG